rnacentral:rRNA from 1 species
UACGGGGGGGGCAAGCGUUGUUCGGAAUUACUGGGCGUAAAGGGCUCGUAGGCGGCCAACUAAGUCAGACGUGAAAUCCCUCGGCUUAACCGGGGAACUGCGUCUGAUACUGGAUGGCUUGAGUUUGGGAGAGGGAUGCGGAAUUCCAGGUGUAGCGGUGAAAUGCGCAGAUAUCAGGAAGAACACCCGUGGCGAAGGCGGGUCUCUGGGCCGAUACUGACGCUGAGGAGCGAAAGCGUGGGGAGCAAACAGG